CCAUGAAACCCUACUAUACCCAAGCUUACCAGGAGAUUUGGGUAGGAACGGGGUUGAUGGCCUACAUCGUUUAUAAAAUCAGGAGUGCUGAUAAAAGAAGUAAAGCCUUGAAAGUGAGACUCUAGCCGUCUGAGUCCUAGACAGACGCAGGGCUGGCCCGUGAGCUUGGGAGGAGACAUUUCCCUGCCCUCGCUCUUAGUGUCAAGGUGGGUUCCACAGACCCUCCAUGUACAUUGCCGUAGAAAUAGCCCUCUCUCUGCCUCCUGGUAUUGCAAGUCGUCCUUUGUGCCCCCGGCUUGUCAGUGCGGGCUUGCGUGAUGACUGCAGUCCGCUCUUCCCCCCCCAAACUGUCUCUGCAUCGUGCUUCUCUUU